GGGGCGAGCGUUGUCCGGAAUUACUGGGCGUAAAGGGCGCGUAGGCGGUUAUCCAAGUCAGGGGUGAAAACCUUGGGCUCAACCCAGGGCCUGCCUCUGAAACUGGGUGACUUGAGGGCAGGAGAGGGGAGUGGAAUUCCCAGUGUAGCGGUGAAAUGCGUAGAUAUUGGGAGGAACACCAGUGGCGAAGGCGGCUCUCUGGCCUGUUACUGACGCUGAGGCGCGAAAGCGUGGGGAUCAAACAGGAUUAGAUACCCUGGUAGUCCACGCCGUAAACGAUGGGUGCUAGGUGUAGGAGGUAUCGACCCCUUCUGUGCCGUAGUUAACACAAUAAGCACCCCGCCUGGGGAGUACGGCCGCAAGGUUGAAACUCAAAGGAAUUGACGGGGGCCCGCACAAGCGGUGGAGCAUGUGGUUUAAUUCGACGCAACGCGAAGAACCUUACCAGGGUUUGACAUCCCCUGACAGCCUAUGAAAGUAGGUUUUCUAUCUUCGGAUAGACAGGGAGACAGGUGGUGCAUGGUUGUCGUCAGCUCGUGUCGUGAGAUGUUGGGUUAAGUCCCGCAACGAGCGCAACCCUCACGUUUA
rnacentral:rRNA from 1 species